rnacentral:rRNA from 1 species
GUGCGAGCGUUAAUCGGAAUUACUGGGCGUAAAGCGUGCGCAGGCGGUUUUGUAAGCCAGAUGUGAAAUCCCCGGGCUUAACCUGGGAAUGGCAUUUGGGACUGCAAGGCUGGAGUGCGGCAGAGGAGACUGGAACUCCUGGUGUAGCAGUGAAAUGCGUAGAUAUCAGGAGGAACACCGAUGGCGAAGGCAGGUCUCUGGGCUGACACUGACGCUCAUGCACGAAAGCGUGGGGAGCAAACAGG